CAAUAGCGUAUAUUUAAGUUGUUGCAGUUAAAAAGCUCGUAGUUGGAUUUCUGGUGGGAGCGAUCGGUCUGGCGCUUAGCGCGAGUACUUGCAUCGUCUCCGGCCAUCCUUGGGGAGAGUCUGUCUGGCAUUAAGUUGUCGGGCAGAGGAUCCUCAUCGUUUACUGUGAAAAAAUUAGAGUGUUCAAAGCAGGCUUAUGCCGUUGAAUAUAUUAGCAUGGAAUAAUAAGAUAGGACUUUGGUACUAUUUUGUUGGUUUGCGCACCAAAGUAAUGAUUAAUAGGGACAGUUGGGGGUAUUCGUAUUCCGUUGUCAGAGGUGAAAUUCUUGGAUUUACGGAAGACGAACUACUGCGAAAGCAUUUACCAAGGAUGUUUUCAUUAA
rnacentral:rRNA from 1 species